GUGGGGAAUAUUGCGCAAUGGGGGAAACCCUGACGCAGCAAUACCGCGUGAGUGAGGAAGGUUUUCGGAUCGUAAAACUCUUUUAUUGGGGAAGAAGAAGUGACGGUACCCAAUGAAGAAGUCCCGGCUAACUACGUGCCAGCAGUCGCGGUAAUACGUAGGGGACAAGCGUUGUCCGGAAUCACUGGGCGUAAAGGGCGCGUAGGCGGUUUUAUAAGUCAGAUGUGAAAGGUACCGGCUCAACCGGUGACGUGCAUUUGAAACUGUAAGACUUGAGUACUGGAGAGGCAAGUGGAAUUCCUAGUGUAGCGGUGAAAUGCGUAGAUAUUAGGAGGAACACCGGUGGCGAAGGCGGCUUGCUGGACAGAUACUGACGCUGAGGUGCGAAAGCGUGGGGAGCGAACAGGAUUAGAAACCCUUGUAGUCC
rnacentral:rRNA from 1 species